rnacentral:misc_RNA from 1 species
UUAAGUUCAGCGGGUAUUCCUACCUGAUCCGAGGUCAACCUUGCCGCGCGGUGGCGGUCUUUGUCGUGGGUUUAGAGGCCGGUGGCCGCUGGGUUCCCGAUGCGAGGUUUAGCUACUACGCAAGGGUGGCCUCAGCGGACCGCCACUGGAUUUAGGGGGCUGCGGCGAGGCGCAGGCCCCCAACGCCGGGCCACUAGGGG